AGAGACAGUGAAGCCUUGUAAACUUUGGGGACAGAGCUGGAGUAGAUGAGGAAAUUACUGUCCAUGGAUGUCUUUACUGCUAGUCUUCUGGAGUCACAGCUGAGUUUGAAAGUACAGCACUAACUUGGGAUUCUGAUUGCUGAGUACCACAUGGUGCGAUGCUGAGAAGAAGGUCAUGCUUCAAACCCUGGGGAAGCGAAAGGGAAAGGGAAAGGAAGGGGAAGUUCCUGUUAUGUGAUCGUAGAACUGUCUGUUGAUCUGUUUGUUGUGAAAAGUCACGGAGAAAGGAGGUAAAACCUUGAAUGAUUGAAUGAACCUUCUUGAAUGUUGUCUGUGUGGAGACGGAAUCUCAUUACCUACAUCAUCAAAUGUCUCCCCGUUUCCAUAAGAAGGGGAACAAGAAAAGAAAAUACUUGUAAACAGCAGCUUUAGUCACAGAGUAUUGCUUCUGUCACAUUACUGGCAAUAGAGUGUAGCUCUGUACAAACUGCUGCCUGCCUGGGCUGCC